AUUGAAGAGGUGCGAAUUUCAGGCAACUCAUGUGAAGAUUAUUGGAUCUUGCGAGCAUGAGUCAUGGGAAAUUUGCCGAAACGGAGAUCUACCAAAACAGAUUUCUUCGUUGGUUGCUAGGGCCGAAUCCCUAGGACUGUCACAGGCAAUGUGGAGCACUUCGAG
rnacentral:ncRNA from 1 species